GAUGAACGCUGGCGGCGUGCCUAAUACAUGCAAGUCGAGCGAACAGACGAGGAGCUUGCUCCUCUGACGUUAGCGGCGGACGGGUGAGUAACACGUGGAUAACCUACCUAUAAGACUGGGAUAACUUCGGGAAACCGGGGCUAAUACCGGAUAAUAUAUUGAACCGCAUGGUUCAAUAGUGAAAGACGGUUUUGCUGUCACUUAUAGAUGGAUCCGCGCCGCAUUAGCUAGUUGGUAAGGUAACGGCUUACCAAGGCAACGAUGCGUAGCCGACCUGAGAGGGUGAUCGGCCACACUGGAACUGAGACGCGGUCCAGACUCCUACGGGAGGCAGCAGUAGGGAAUCUUCCGCAAUGGGCGAAAGCCUGACGGAGCAACGCCGCGUGAGUGAUGAAGGUCUUCGGAUCGUAAAACUCUGUUAUUAGGGAAGAACAAAUGUGUAAGUAACUAUGCACGUCUUGACGGCACCUAAUCAGAAAGCCACGGCUAACUACGUG
rnacentral:rRNA from 1 species